GACGAACGCUGGCGGCGUGCCUAAUACAUGCAAGUCGAACGAGAGCGACCGGUGCUUGCACUGGUCAAUCUAGUGGCGAACGGGUGAGUAACACGUGGGUAACCUGCCCAUCAGAGGGGGAUAACAUUCGGAAACGGAUGCUAAAACCGCAUAGGUUCUACAGUCGCAUGACCGAAGAAGGAAAAGAGGCUUCGGCUUCUGCUGAUGGAUGGACCCGCGGUGCAUUAGCUAGUUGGUGAGGUAACGGCUCACCAAGGCUGUGAUGCAUAGCCGACCUGAGAGGGUGAUCGGCCACAUUGGGACUGAGACACGGCCCAAACUCCUACGGGAGGCAGCAGUAGGGAAUCUUCCGCAAUGGACGCAAGUCUGACGGAGCAACGCCGCGUGAGUGAAGAAGGAUUUCGGUUCGUAAAACUCUGUUGUUAGAGAAGAACAGCGCAUAGAGUAAC
rnacentral:rRNA from 1 species